rnacentral:tRNA from 1 species
CGUGGUGACCAUAGCUCAGUUGGUAGAGCGCCUGACUGUGGAUCAGGUGGUCGCGGGUUCGAGUCCCGCUGGU